rnacentral:rRNA from 1 species
GGGCCCGCACAAGCAGUGGAGUAUGUGGAUUAAUUCGACGCAACGCGAAGAACCUUACCAAGGCUUGACAUCCUGCUAACGUAGCAGAAAUGCAUUAGGUGCCCUUCGGGGAAAGCAGAGACAGGUGGUGCAUGGUUGUCGUCAGCUCGUGUCGUGAGAUGUUGGGUUAAGUCCCGCAACGAGCGCAACCCUUGCGGUUAGUUGCUACGAAAGAGCACUCUAGCCGAACUGCCGUUGACAAAACGGAGGAAGGUGGGGACGACGUCAAAUCAUCAUGCCCUUUAUGUCUUGGGCUUCACACGUACUACAAUGACGAUCAACAGAGGGAGGCAAACCCGCGAGGGGGAGCGAAACCCUAAAAGUCGUCUCAGUUCGGAUUGCAGGCUGCAACUCGCCUGCAUGAAGCUGGAAUUGCUAGUAAUCGCGGAUCAGCAUGCCGCGGUGAAUACGUUCCCGGGCCUU